UGUGUUUGAAUGUGUGAACUAUUGAUUCAGUGAUGUAAGGCUACCCCAUAUGUACUUAUCAUGUAUUCAGUUAUGUAAAGCUAUACCGUGUUUUUUCUACAGGAUAGGUUCAAGCCAAGUAGCUAACAUCCCCUUCUACCCAAGGUCAAGCAUUCAGCGGCGGUAUCAGAGGAGACAUCGUCACGCGGAAGCCCCUUCUCUGGACAAGCAAAAGCUCUGGCCGCCAUGGAUGCCAAUGAGAUUCUCGACCAAGGUUCACCUGGGCCUGCAUCCUCCAAAAACAAGAUGCAUCCACUUAUCAAGAUACGAAGUCUACUCGCCAGGAGGAGCAUGAAUAGUACAUCGAGAGAGGAAGUAGGAGUUCUCCGAAAUGAUCAUCUACAAGCACAGUACAUAUUUGUUGAUUGCUAGCACUAUCUAUGUUUCCAUAGCAUUGUUUCCAACUGCUGUAACACCUAUUUUUACAAUUUAAGGUAUGAACUACCUGGCUUUAUUUUGAACUUAUGUACUGAUGUAGAAUGAUGGCUCCUGUUUUUUACUUGCUGGUAUGAACUGUUUUGUUGUAUUUUGUAAAGCUCAAGAAUUUACUUAUGAUGCUAACUAACAUU